rnacentral:rRNA from 1 species
GACGAACGCUGGCGGCGUGCCUAAUACAUGCAAGUCGAGCGAAGUGUUUCUGGUGCUUGCGCCGGCAAGACUUAGCGACGAACGGGUAAGUAGCAAGUAAAGAACCUGCCUCAUUGACUGGGACACAUAUUGGAAAGGAUAGCAAAUACCGGGUAACAGCAUUACCUGCAUGGUUGAUGUUAAAAAGUUGGUUUUGCUAACACUAUGCGAUUGCUUUGCGGUGCAUUAGCUUGUUGGUGGGGUAAAGCGCUACCAGGGCGACGAGGCAUAGCCGAAGUGAGAGGGUGAUCGCCCACACUAGAACUGAGACACGGCCCAGGCUCCUACGGGAGGCACCAGUAGGGAAUCUUCCGCAAUGGUCGAAAGCCUGACGGAACAACGGCACGUGAGUGAAGAAGGAGUUCCGUUCGGAAAGCUGUGUUGUUAGGUGAGAAGGAUUGUGGAGUAACAAGACACGGUAGAGACGGUACCUAACCAGAAAGCCACGGCUAACUACGUG